AGCGCAACCCUUCUUUCUUUUGGCAUGCCUUAGUUUUCAAUAGGCUAGAUUAUAAGCCUUGAGGAAAAUUCUAAGAUUCGAAAUCCGAGCAUGUUAUGAGCCUUAUAAAUAUUCCUUGGCACUCUUAUGUAUGAUUUGAUGAAAUAUGAACCAUUAUGUCUUUGAAAUAAUCGCUUUCCGAACUUUGCAUAAAAAGGUUUCACUUUAAAGAAUUUCGUAAUUUGUAAACGCCAUAUCUUUCACAGAAAGGCUCGGAUUGCUUCAAUAAUUUUUGUAGAAGUUUAUAUGGCAUAUAAUGAGUAUGUUUUCCAUAGGCGGGCCCGACUCGGGUAAAUACCCGUUCGUGGGCCCCGCGACUUUCCUUUAUGUAAUUCGGGAACUUUUGAAAGAAUUCGUUAUGACUAUUAUUUCGAUUUUCAAGUAUGAUCAUUUUACUUAUAUUUGAGUCUAUGAUAAUGAUUUUAUGCAUAUGGUUACUCAUGACUCUGCUCGUGCGUUCUGUUAUAUCUUUCGCCGGUUCCCGGGCCGGUUCUGUUAUCGUGCGCACUUUGAUAUACUCCGGAGUUAUGCUGUGUUUAUGGUUCACCGAGCUACUCGCAAAAGAGGGUCGGGUUCCACCUAUAUUUGGUGUUAUGCUGUGUAUGGCGUUAUGUGGUGAUGUGAUAUGUGACGGGGAUACGGAGAUUUGAAACUUUCUGGUGUUAUGCUGUGUUAUGGCGCCAUCGACGGGUGGGCGACCAUAUUCUUCUGUACCCUAUGCAUUACUUACAUAUUUUUGAAAGUACAGACGCACAGUUUGGUGAUCUACCCAUUUAGGACACCCUCUUCUGCUGUUUGGAGUGCUCUUCUCAUUUCAGAGCACACAUUUUGGUAUAUAUUCGUUCGCUAUGUAUAUAUGUAUUUGUUCAGGGGCACGGCGGGGCCCUGUCCCGCCAUAUGAUUCGGUUUGUCUGUUUAGAGGUCUGUAGACGUAUUUGUGGGUGUGUAUGCCUACUUCUGUACGGAUGUGUUUGCAUGACUCUAUUCGUUAUGGCAGCCUCGUCGGCGUGCAUUUUGUAUAUGUUGUGGCAGCCUUGUCGGCGUGCAUUUGUAUAUGCGUUUUGGGCCGUUGUGCCAUUUGACAGCCUUGUCGGCUUUUGACAUAUUUGAUAGCCUUGCCGGCUUUUUGACAUCUAUA